UCCCCGGUGGUCCAGUUGGUAAGACUCUGCGCUCCUAGUGCAGGGGGCCCGGGUUCGAUCCCCGGUCGGGGAA